UACGUAGGGAGCGAGCGUUGUCCGGAAUUACUGGGUGUAAAGGGAGCGUAGGCGGGAUUGCAAGUUGGAUGUGAAAACUGCGGGCUCAACCCGGAGCGUGCAUUCAAAACUGCGAUUCUUGAGUGAAGUAGAGGCAAGCGGAAUUCCUAGUGUAGCGGUGAAAUGCGUAGAUAUUAGGAGGAACACCAGUGGCGAAGGCGGCUUGCUGGGCUUUUACUGACGCUGAGGCUCGAAAGUGUGGGGAGCAAACA
rnacentral:rRNA from 1 species